AGUGAACGCUGGCGGUAGGCCUAACACAUGCAAGUCGAACGGCAGCACAGUAAGAGCUUGCUCUUACUGGUGGCGAGUGGCGGACGGGUGAGGCAUACAUCGGAAUCUACUUUUUCGUGGGGGAUAACGUAGGGAAACUUACGCUAAUACCGCAUACGACCUACGGCUGAAAGCAGGGGAUCUUCGGACCUUGCGCGAUUGAAUGAGCCGGUGUCGGAUUAGCUAGUUGGCGGGGUAAAGGCCCACCAAGGCGACGAUCCGUAGCUGGUCUGAGAGGAUGAUCGGCCACACUGGAACUGAGACACGGUCCAGACUCCUACGGGAGGCAGCAGUGGGGAAUAUUGGACAAUGGGCGCAAGCCUGAUCCAGCCAUACCGCGUGAGUGAAGAAGGCCUUCGGGUUGUAAAGCCCUUUUGUUGGGAAAGAAAAGCAGCAGGUUAAUACCCCGCUGUUCUGACGGUACCCAAAGAAUAAGCACCGGCUAACUUCGUG
rnacentral:rRNA from 1 species